rnacentral:rRNA from 1 species
CUUUAUAUUUUGUUGUAAGGUUGGGCCUGCCCCCUGAUAGUGUUGAAGGGCCGCGGUAUUUUGACCGUGCAAAGGUAGCAUAAUCAUUAGUUUAUUAAUUGUAGGCUGGAAUGAAUGGUUUGACAAGAUAAAUGCUGUCUCUUUUGUAUAUUGUGAAUUUCACUUUUGAGUUAAAAGGCUUAAAUGUUAAUGAGGGACGAGAAGACCCUAUAGAUCUUUAUUAAUUAUAUAUUUUUUUAUAUGKGGAUAAUUAAUAAUUUAAUUAUUAAUUAAUUUUGUUGGGGUGACAGGAGAAUAAAUGUAACUUCUUUUUUAAAAAAUUAUGAUUAUUAUUUGUUUGAUCCUUUAUUAUGGAUAGAAGAUUAAGAUACCUUAGGGAUAACAGCGUUAUUUUAUUUGAGAGUUCUUAUUGACAAUAAAGUUUGCGACCUCGAUGUUGGAUUAAGAAUACAUAUUGGUGUAGUAGCUGAUAAUGUUAGUCUGUUC